rnacentral:lncRNA from 1 species
GUGUUUGCCAGGCCCCGACAUAGUCUCACAAGAGACAGCUACAUCUGGGUCCUUUCGAUAAAAUCUUGCUAGUGUAUGCAAUGGUGUUAUAAGUACCGCGCGCUAACCGAUUGCGCCACUGGAGCUCCCAAAAACAUCUCUUAAUGUUGAUGCUGCCAGGGGCUACUUGAAUAAGUAAAUCAGGCUUGGGGCUGGAGUCUAUGUCCACUCUGGUAUCAGGAGUCACUGCUGUGCCUUCAUGGGGUUUCAUAAGACCAGUAUGCCUACUAAUGGAAGACUGAGGUUCCUGAAGAGAAGCCCCUGUCCACUGGGAAUCAGCACUUGUUGUCUUUUUAGGGGCGCUUAGCAUAACCUAGGUUCACUUGGGAAGAGGGACCCUCAAUUGAAGAGCUGCUUUGAUCAGGAUGCUAUGGCCAUGUCUGGGAGAGAUUGUUCAGACUGAUGAAUGACAUGAGCGGGGCCAACUCUAGGCAGGUGGACCUGGCCUUUAUAAGAAAGCUAUGAGCCACUUAGGGAUCUGGUAAGUACUGUCUCCUUAGUUUCUGCUUCAGUCCCCGCCCUGAAUUCCUUCAGUCAUGGACCGUAACCUGGAAGCAUAAGCCAAGUAGAUCUCUUCUUCCUGCAUCCAGUCAGAGUAGAAGAGCAAAAUACAGCGCUCAUCUUCUACGGGUAGACAGCAAGCAGGAUGCUCACUCCAUGGCAGCCCUGGAACAAGGCCACACUGUUGGGUCCUUGCUCACUUCCUCCCAACCACCAUGCCAGGGGAGUCCCCUACAUGCUGGUGGUCCCCUGCAGUAGUUCAUGUCCCCAGCAGACACAGAGGGAACACUAAGCUUUUCUUGGAUAGCUCCGCUGCCCACAGAGCUCUCUUUUCUCAUCUUCCUUCCUACCUCUCUGCUUUCUAGCCUCUGACCAGCAACCUGAGCAAGGAUCAUACUGCCUAAGCCUUUCCCAUGUGAAUGUUGGUGCUCCUUCCAGAGAGGAUUUCCAGUGAUACUGAACCCCCUCCCAGGGUCACCCCUUAACUGGAAUAUGGAGUGGCCGGCUGACUUUUGGGUUGAUAUUUACAUAUGCAGAGAUGCUGCCCUGUUAAGAACCUGUGUAAAUGCUUUCACUGGAGAAAGACAGUCACCUUGCGACAGAGUUCCACAAGGUAAUUUACAAGCAGCCAAAAUUUAUUUCUUGUGGUCCCGGGAGUUGGAAAUUCUAAUGCCAAAAAUGUAGAAGAUGGGAGGGCAAGAGAGGACCAGAGAGUAAACAAGAAAGAUCAGACAGGAGGCCCCAUGCCUUCUGUGAUCA